AAAAGUAGGAGAAUAUCCAAGUGUCUUAACAAUUUUUCAAGCCAAUCACAUGGAGAAAGGUGUUCACCUCCAUUUUGGAAAAAACAAUAAUAUAUUUAUAUCUAUGUACAUAUAUGUAUGUGUG